rfam:Canis lupus familiaris chromosome 36, whole genome shotgun sequence.
GUGCUCUCUUCGGCAGCACAUGUACUAAAAUUAGAACAAUACAGAGGAGAUUAGCAUGGCCCCUGUGUAAGGAUGACACGCAAAUUUGUGAAACACUCCAUAUUUUU